ensembl:lncRNA
CACACAGCUGCUUUCCUGCAGCUCAACUACUGACUCAGUAAACAACAAAGCUUUCCUACCUGCAGCUCUGCAGGAGCCACAGAAGGUUCCAGUUGUGCAUCAGGCUUCGUGUGUUACAGCAUUGCAGGCUGCUGGGAUCAACGCAGUGCUCUUUCACCUACUGAUGACACAUACAUCUCCAAAGAGCUCUACUGGAAUGUUUCCAAGACCACCAUGACAAAACUGCUUCGGUAUGGGUGGUAAACAUGUCUCUACUGUUACUGCAGACUUUUCUGCUGUUUGCUAUGCAUUCUUUAGCUACUGUUUCUUGAGCGGAAGGAUUCUUUCUGCACUACCACCUCAUCCUUGGACCCCUCACUGGAUAUCCAUGUGGAAAAAAGGCAAACAAACCAUGUGCUCUGCUAAGCAGAUACCAUUUACAGGGUGGAACCUGCAGAUCAUCAAGCAGAGCACAUCUGGAUGAAGCCCUACCAGAACAAUGGUGGUACUGCACUGUAAUUACAUGAAAGCAUUAUCUACUUCUCAACAUACAACCCCACAGCAGAUGUGCAGUCAUUCACUUUGAAAACGCUCCUGUAGGACUGCAAGUAUUCCAUGACAGAGCAUGACUUUUUGGGAGAACCUAUUCCUGCCUGCAGGAACCCACCAGCUUUCAGGUGAGUUUUAAGUUGAUCCUUGGAAACUUCACAAAGCCAAAGGAAGGUGCAUUAUAGCUGCCUGUUUGCAAGUAUGUAGCAUUAGUACUUAACUGAACGUUAAGAAGUAUGUAACACCUCCAUCCUAAUUGUAGGGAAUCUGAUCUUACUCUUAGAAUUUUUUUUCAUUAUCUUUGUAAGUUAUCACAACACCAAUGUCAACAAAAUGACAUGUGUGCCCUGAAAUGCAGCAUUUCACAAUACCAAAUUCCAGUUAAUAGUACUGUGCUCAAGUCUGUACCAAAUUUGCUGAGACACCAGUUUCAUUAAACCUCAAUAUGCUUAGAAACAGCUUCACUUCUCUUCACAUACCAAAGCUGCAGAGGUUAGGAUGGAGCCAAAAUGGUCCUGGUGUUAUAAUAAAGCCCUAAGAAAGGCAGCAGGUUGUAUAGUUACCUCCUUGUGAGCAAAAUCCCUGCCCUAAAACUAUGCAACCCACUACCUCUUCCUAGGAGCCCAAUGCUUCCUUUCUGCAGUUCUUCUUGCUUAGCAGCUGCUCUGUGAAGCCAGCUUAGCUUACCAGCUGCUUUUGGUCUUCUGCAUUUUUAGGCCAGGGCAUGUACUACAAGUUUACAGUUAGCACUGUUUAAUAAGUGGUUAACCAGUUAACAUUCCUGGCUUAAGUACUCAUUAAUGGCUCCAUUUUCACUCUUACUACGCUAAACUUUCAGUCAUCAGAAUGUUUUCAUGCUUUUUGUUCCUUGUUGUUAUAGGAAGAUGUUAGGUGGUCACCCUAGGGCAGAAGCAGCUAGAUGGGGGUACACCUAGCGCUUAUGGGGUAUAAAGAACACAAUCUUUAAAUGCCUUCUUAUAAAAUCGGUAACCUCUUCAGACAGAAGUUACAAUUCUGGAUCUUGAGCACUCAAAUUUCAUAGCUUUACAUUCUCCUAAACAGUUGAAGGGAUCAAUUUUGGCCAUUCAACACUUUAAUCUUUGUAUUACAUUGUUUAAGUCUCACUGGCUACGAGAGCUAGAGAAAAAUAAGCAGGCGUAUUAAUGAAGUAUGACUGUAAGUCUCCCAGCUUCUACAGAACAGUGAUGGAAUGUUAAUGUAUUACAGAAAUUAAAACAGUUUAUGUCACCAUGUAUAAGCUUGAGCCAAGACUACUUUUAGGUUCAAAACCAAAUCGUUUUAGAAUGAUUUCCAGUCUAUGGUGUAUUCAGUUCUGUAUCUAUAAGAGAUGCAUUGUUGAUGUCCAGACAGUGCUGUGCCACUCACCUUGAAAGAAAAGUUGUAUUAGUUCCAUAAGGUUUGGGAUUUGCACCAUUCAAACUGAUCGUUAAUUAAGGACAGAAUUUACAGGAUUAAUGUGAUACUCUCCAACCCUGAACUUAUCUGACAAGUAAACUCUUACUCAACGUGGAAACAAACAACAGCAAAGGACCGCAGUUUGUUUUACUCCUCAGGGAAGGCAAUAGAUUGUAUAGUUAUCUCCUGAACAGGGUAAAAUAACUACCCUACAACUAUACAAUCUACUACCUCACUCUGACAGAGAAGCAUGUACUUAAGCUCUUUGCUGAAGUAGCUAACCACAGUCUCAUUCUCGAGUAUUAAUAUUUGAUGCUUCAGUUAGCAGUGUUAACACAACUUAUUAGAACAUCAACCAUUACCCCACCUUAAAGGAAUCAAUCUGUUCUUACGUGUUAUCCUUAGAGAAGAUAAAUUAAUGUAGAGAAUUAGAAAAAAUCCAGAAGUAAUUACCUGUAGGCGUUGCAGAAAUAUUUGUCUGCUAUAAUAAACACUCCGAGUACAGAAGUUUGGGACAAUCUGACACUGUGCUUAAAACUGAACGGUCUCCGUUGUUGAUUUUCUGCUGCUUUAGGAAAGACAGUAGAUUGUAUAGUUAUCUCCCAGUUGCGGGUAUGACCCUAAAACUAUACAACCUACUACCUCAUCCCACAGUGCAGGCAUCUUCAGAGGUGAUGUCCAAAGAAUGGUGCUUUAAUAAAGACAGCUUAAGCUAACUGCAGGCACUUACAGUGUGCUAUGCUGGUCACAGGAAAAAAACAUUCCCAUCUCUCUCCACUCAUGCAAUGAUGUUACUGUAAGGAUAAGAUUCCUUCGUUUCAAAAGUUUACCAACUGUUUGGGUCUUAAUGUAUUUAAUCUUUAG